AUCAACAGUCGUCGUCUUCGAUGAAAUUGGAGGGAAGGAAUGGCGAGCCAGAGAGCUAUAGCAAACGAACUAGGAACAGCAGUGCAGGAGGCUGCGAGAAACAGGAGAGGAACGUACGAAUCUCACAUGGCUGCAGCCACUCACGCUUUGAUCUCAUUCUUGAUGUCAGAGAUGCUCGGGUACUUCGUUAGUCUCUGCCAACUGUUCGAUGAUAUGUCUAAACUAACCCAUAUGUAUGUGUUGUAUUAUGUAUACUUAGACAUGUUUGUUAGAUUCCUUUGUCGUCCGAGAAUGACCAGUUGAGGAACUACCACCACCCAGUAAGACCGGAUCGUAGUGAUGAACAAGAUGGAACAUGCUUAUCAAAACUGCAAUAUUUCUUAUGGAGUCAAUUCCCAUAACAAAGAAAGUGUUAAAGGAAAGCUAGGUGGCUCUACCAAUGUGGUGCAAUAAAAUAAUGAAAGAGAAUCAAGAUGAUAUUUGACCACUUUCUAUCAGAAACUGCAACCGCAAUUGUGAGAAAAAUGAAGAUAAUUUGAACUUCAAAGUUGGAGUUGGAGUUGGAGCGUAUCAAGACAUUUCAAAGGGCAUGUGAAUGAUUGAGACGAUAUCAGCUUUCAAUGGUAAUACGGAAAACAAACUGGAUUUUUGAAAGAACUCAUCAAGAUACAGUUCACUUCCUUGCGUGGAGCUUAAUUUUCAGGUUCCUUCAGAAUUAGGUGAUGAUAAUGCUCAUGGUAAAGUUGCUGGUAAGUUACUCAAUCUGUAUCGUACGGGUAGGCUUGGACAUUAUACUUUAGACCCUCUUCCAAUGAAUGUCUUAUGAUAUGCUUACAUUAUGUUCAUUGCUUUGAGUGCUUUAUGGACAAACGAGAAUAUAUAAUAUCUGUCAUGAAUUCAUGAUUGAUCUCUUUAUAUAUACUGAAAACACCACAUAUUGGCUCACCAUUUUGCUUUGAGUAGUCAUGAUAUGUUCUUUUGCCUGUGAAAGUAAUAAAAAAAUUUCCAUUUUAAGAAAGGAUUUUUGUAACAACCCGCCCCUCCGCAACACUUUGCUUGCAUGGCUUUGUCUUCCCAGGACCAAUACCAGUCCAUACUAAUUUGAGCCCAAGAAAAGCACUCCUUACUAGUUUGGAAGUUUGAUCUAUUAUAUUAUGUACUUCAUAUCUUUCUCUAGGCGAUGUAGAGGCUUGUGGUCCUGCCCACUCGAGGCGGGUUUAUUCUUAAAAGUAACCUUAUUGGUUACCCAUUUUUGAUAUUACAACUCAUUAGUAGAAAAAGUCCACCUAUUCCUCUGCACAACUACAACUUUCUCCAACCAUAAAACUGGAGAAAUUUGCUUUCUAUGUUGUCAGAGUAAACAUGAUCUAGCUUUGCUGGAAACUGCCCAUUUUCUUUUCAAUUUUUUUUUAUAACUAAAGUCUAUAGAGGAAGAAAGAACCAAGGGUUUAUUAUACAAGAUGAGAGAGCCAGCAAAGGGUGUGAAAAUUUCAAUGGAUGACAUAAAUAUAUAUAUAUAUAUGUACAUAUUUCAUCCUGUUAGUCCUGUACUCUUUCUGACCAUAAUUAAGCUAGAAGUGCUAGUCGUCCCAAGAAUUGGGAUCCCAGUUGGUGUAUGGAUCCCAACAAGUGGGAUACCAAUUUCAAUAACGGGUAUCACUGGGAUCCCAAUUACCGGGACGAAUAACUUUUACGUAUUAUUCUUGCUCCUCCACAUGAAUGACAUGUUAGAUGAUCUCAUUUUGACCAAACCCACUUCAAUAUUUUUUUCAUUGCAAGUACCUGGUCCAAUAAUCAUUAAC